GAGACCAUCGCUGAUUUUCACCGCCAAGCUUGUUGCUGGAAAAUAACCCUAAACUGGAUAAAUUGAGCAAAUAUCCAUACCGGAGAUCUGCAUGGACCUUGGAGAAACGGACCUGAUCUGUUGUGAACAUUUUGGACUUUGAAACCAUCGCGCGAUCUGCAUGGGUGCGGAUGAAACGGACAAGAUCCUCUCUGAGAGUUGAACAUUAGAAGCGUGCUGGCUAGGUUUUUUUUUGUGGGAUCGUGAGACCUGGAUUUCUUCCUGACGAGGAAGAUGGCGAGCCUUUCCCUUUGAACCGAACCACAGCCAUUCUGAGUUGGCCCAGAAGGGCAGGUUGCUCUUCUUUCACGAACAAUUGCAACAGUGCGGUAGGACGAAAUCGCACCAAUCACAGACUUUUGACCUAUUGGAUUUGACUUGACUGAACACUGACUAUUAAGCCGGCAAGACUGACAUAUCUGAGCUCAGAUAAGAUUCUGAUUGUUAUUAUUAUUGCUGUCACUGUAUAUUAUCUCGUGUUUUCAUUCCUGUUUAUGAAGUGCUGUUAACUUGUUGCUAAAUAGUUUAAUACAAUUCAAAGCAACUUUACCUGUGGCUCCAGUCAUUCUUCUCCACGCAACUCACUUUAUCCCUCCUACGAAUCUAGCUAUUGGCCCAUUCUCUCCAUCUUACUUUAAUAUCCC